CACAGGAAUCUCUGUUGUGGCGCAUGCUAAAUCGGAAACACCCAGGAGAGGGAAUUCUGGGAGACAUACUUCAGCCUAGCCAAGGUGAUGUAUUACAAACCCACCGUGUUUAUUAUGAAAUUGAAUGGUUUGCAUUUGGCUCUGGAGUCAGAUUUCCCAGGUUUGAAUUGCAGCUCCUGUAUUUCAAGAUAAUCCAUUCCCAUUGACAGCCCUUGAUCAGCAAGCCACUGGCCAGCAUAGGAAAUGUGAAGGAGUCAGGCUGAUAGAACAAGAGAAGGACACCUAACUUGAAGGGAGCUAGACUCGACAGGUCAGCUCUCUGUAGUUCCUGUGGCCACACCGGGAAAGAUGAACUUGACUUAACAUGUCACUCCUCAGGAAAUCAUACAGAGUGGUGUAAAUCAGUCAAAGCUGGCCACCCGAACUGAAAUGCCAUGAAGAAGCAAUCAUGGGACAUGUUUACCGCCACAUGCAAGCCAGAGUUCUGAGGG
rnacentral:lncRNA from 1 species